AACGAACGCUGGCGGCGUGCCUAACACAUGCAAGUCGAACGAAACCUUCGGGUCUAUUUGCGCACGUGGACGUACCACGUGGUAACCUGCCCUUAGGUUCGCAAUCCCUCCCUGAAGGGGGUCCUAAUACCACAUAAUGUCUUCGGACCAAAGAUUUAUCGCCUUUUGAUGGGGCGCGUUGGAUUAGCUCGUUGGUAGGGGGAAAGCCUACCAAUGAGACGUUCCAUAGCUGGUCUGAGAGGAUGACCAGCCACAACGGGCCUGCGGCACGGCCCAGACUCCGAGGGGAGGGAGCAGUGGGGAAUAUUGGAGAAGGGGGGAAAGCCUGAUCCAGCAAUGCGGGGGGAGUGAUGAAGGGCUUAGUGUUGUACUGCCCUUUUAGCCGGGACGAUAAUGACAGUAACGGGAGAAGAAGCACCGGCUAACUACGUG
rnacentral:rRNA from 1 species